rnacentral:piRNA from 1 species
UGUUGUGUAGACAACUGCCACCUGCAUC